GAUGAACGCUGGCGGCGUGCCUAAUACAUGCAAGUCGAGCGAACGGACGAGAAGCUUGCUUUUCUGAUGUUAGCGGCGGACGGGUGAGUAACACGUGGAUAACCUACCUAUAAGACUGGGAUAACUUCGGGAAACCGGAGCUAAUACCGGAUAAUAUUUUGAACCGCAUGGUUCAAAAGUGAAAGACGGUCUUGCUGUCACUUAUAGAUGGAUCCGCGCUGCAUUAGCUAGUUGGUAAGGUAACGGCUUACCAAGGCAACGAUGCGUAGCCGACCUGAGAGGGUGAUCGGCCACACUGGAACUGAGACACGGUCCAGACUCCUACGGGAGGCAGCAGUAGGGAACCUUCCGCAAUGGGCGAAAGCCUGACGGAGCAACGCCGCGUGAGUGAUGAAGGUCUUCGGAUCGUAAAACUCUGUUAUUAGGGAAGAACAUAUGUGUAAGUAACUGUGCACAUCUUGACGGUACCUAAUCAGAAAGCCACGGCUAACUACGUG
rnacentral:rRNA from 1 species